GCUAUUUACAAUAUCUCUCUAUUAAAAUGGUUAUUUGGCAGUUCUCUGAGAAGACUGACCUAACACUGAUGCUGUCUAAGCCAACAGUCUUGGAAUAAACCAGGAGGAUGUAAUGUUCACUGUGUUGAUUCAACCGUGUGAUCAUUUUCGUGUCCGGCCUGCACUUCCUUUAACAUACUGGAGAUAAGUUUGUGGGGGAAAGGCCGCCGUUUUGCAGCUGACUAGUAAAACAAAUGGGACGUCCACAGGUUGAUGAGGUGAAUGAGGUGCCGAGAGCAGCUCGUGUCCCCCCGCCGACUCGGCGCGCAGACGUCAGCCUACCGUUUGCAGAUGUCGUCGGCCGUCUCCUUGGUGAACACCCGCUCCUGGAGCACGUUGUUGAGCGCGUGGAUGGCGCACAGCUCCAGUCGUUGCUUCUCGUGAAACACGUCUCCUUCGCUCAUGCUAAUGCUCGCUUCACGCACAGGAGACACACGGAGGGAAGGCGACGGCGACGGGAGUGAACACCGGGUAACGGCUGCAAGCUGCUGGUUGGCUCACGUGACGGGGGGGCAACCGCUCGGCGCGGUUCGAGCUAACGGGAACUUCGAAGUCGCUAGCUAACUGCUGUACGGCACCGGGGGGCUGCACUGUGAGCGCCGGCCGGUUCUUCUCUACAUUUGGCACAAAAAAAAGUGACUGGUAUUAACCGACAACAGCCAGAUGAAGCCACUGACCUGCUGAUGAGGCGGUUCCUCGUUAAAAAAAAAGAAAAGAUGCUGGAGUCUGACAGCUACAUCCAGAAACCGGAAGCAGAGCCCUUGUUUUUGUUGUGUUGUUGUUGCGCGGCAGCCACGCCCAUUUACGGUUUUUUCAUGCACAACGGGACAAGAAAAAAACAACCCCUUUCACUUUACCUUUGAACUCUUCUGCUAAACUGGUUCAAUUAUUAAUUAAUAAAAAUAAUAAACUAACCCCUCUGUGUAAGAACAGCAAACAUAAGCCUCCUCAACCCACCAGGGUCUGACUGCUAGUAACAGAGGGCGUUGUGUUAAUGCGCCCUCUAGUGCUCAGUCUGAUUAAUGAUGAAAUGAUGAUGAUGAUCAUGUAUAACAGAAAUAAAUCUUAAUUUUUUCUU